rnacentral:rRNA from 1 species
AUUGAACGCUGGCGGCAGGCCUAACACAUGCAAGUCGAGCGGAGAGGCGGACGGGUGAGUAAUGCAUAGGAAUCUGCCUGGUAGUGGGGGCUAACGACCGGAAACGGGCGCUAAUACCGCAUACUAUCAGAUAAGCCUCGUUCUGAUUAGCUAGUUGGCGGGGUAACGGCCUACCAAGGCGACGAUCCGUAACUGGGCUUAGCGGAUGAUCAGUCACACUGGAACUGAGACACGGUCCAGACUCCUACGGGAGGCAGCAGUGGGGAAUAUUGGACAAUGGGCGAAAUCCUGAUCCAGCCAUGCCGCGUGUGUGAAGAAGGUCUUCGGAUUGUAAAGCACUUUCAGCGGGGAGGCGUUACCCGCAGAAGAAGCACCGGCUAACUCCGUGCCAGCAGCCGCGGUAAUUC